UCAAAGGCUCUUUUCAGAGCCACCCAAGUUUUCUGAAAAGUGCUG
rfam:Loxodonta africana unplaced genomic scaffold scaffold_44, whole genome shotgun sequence.